rnacentral:ncRNA from 1 species
CCUGGACCCGGUGAAAAUCCGGGUGGCUCCGCCGGCCGCUGAUCCGCCGGUCAAUC